rnacentral:rRNA from 1 species
AACGGCGAGUGAAGCGGCAAGAGCUCAAAUUUGAAAGCUGGCCCCCUCGGGGUCCGCAUUGUAAUUUGUAGAGGAUGCUUCGGGAGCGGUCCCCAUCUAAGUGCCCUGGAACGGGCCGUCAUAGAGGGUGAGAAUCCCGUAUGGGAUGGGGUGCCCGCGCCCGUGUGAAGCUCCUUCGACGAGUCGAGUUGUUUGGGAAUGCAGCUCUAAUUGGGUGGUAAAUUUCAUCUAAAGCUAAAUAUUGGCCGGAGACCGAUAGCGCACAAGUAGAGUGAUCGAAAGAUGAAAAGCACUUUGAAAAGAGAGUUAAACAGCACGUGAAAUUGUUGAAAGGGAAGCGCUUGCGAUCAGACUCGCUCGCGGGGUUCAGCCGGCCUUCGGGCCGGUGUACUUCCCCGCGGGCGGGCCAGCGUCGGUUUGGGCGGCCGGUCAAAGGCCCCUGGAAUGUAACGCCUCUCGGGGCGUCUUAUAGCCAGGGGUGCCAUGCGGCCUGCCCGGACCGAGGAACGCGCUUCGGCUCGGACGCUGGCAUAAUGGUCGUAAGCGACCCGUCUUGAAACACGGACCAAGGAGUCUAACAUCUACGCGAGUGUUCGGGUGUCAAACCCGUGCGCGCAGUGAAAGCGAACGGAGGUGGGAACCCCUCGGGGUGCACCAUCGACCGAUCCUGAAGUCUUCGGAUGGAUUUGAGUAAGAGCGUAGCUGUUGGGACCCGAAAGAUGGUGAACUAUGCCUGAAUAGGGCGAAGCCAGAGGAAACUCUGGUGGAGGCUCGCAGCGGUUCUGACGUGCAAAUCGAUCGUCAAAUUUGGGUAUAGGGCGAAAGACUAAUCGAACCAUCU